rnacentral:rRNA from 1 species
AGCGAACGCUGGCGGCAGGCUUAACACAUGCAAGUCGAGCGGGCAUAGCAAUAUGUCAGCGGCAGACGGGUGAGUAACGCGUGGGAACGUACCUUUUGGUUCGGAACAACUGAGGGAAACUUCAGCUAAUACCGGAUAAGCCCUUACGGGAAAAGAUUUAUCGCCGAAAGAUCGGCCCGCGUCUGAUUAGCUAGUUGGUGAGGUAAUGGCUCACCAAGGCGACGAUCAGUAGCUGGUCUGAGAGGAUGAUCAGCCGCAUUGGGACUGAGACACAGCCCAAACUCCUACGGGGGGCAGCAGUGGGGAAUAUUGGACAAUGGGCGCAAGCCUGAUCCAGCCAUGCCGCGUGAGUGAUGAAGGCCCUAGGGUUGUAAAGCUCUUUUGUGCGGGAAGAUAAUGACGGUACCGCAAGAAUAAGCCCCGGCUAACUUCGUGCCAGCCGCCGCGGUAACAC